GAUGAACGCUAGCGGCAGGCUUAAUACAUGCAAGUCGUGGGGCAGCAUGAAUGUAGCAAUACAUUUGAUGGCGACCGGCAAACGGGUGCGGAACACGUACACAACCUUCCUAUAAGUGGGGAAUAGCCCAGAGAAAUUUGGUUUAAUACCCCGUAACAUAACGAUGUGGCAUCACAUUGUUAUUAUAGCUUCGGCGCUUAUUGAUGGGUGUGCGGCUGAUUAGAUAGUUGGCGGGGUAACGGCCCACCAAGUCUACGAUCAGUAGCUGAUGUGAGAGCAUGAUCAGACACACGGGCACUGAGACACGGGCCCGACUCCUACGGGAGGCAGCAGUAAGGAAUAUUGGUCAAUGGACGCAAGUCUGAACCAGCCAUGCCGCGUGAAGGAUUAAGGUCCUCUGGAUUGUAAACUUCUUUUAUCUGGGACGAAAAAAGGCUUUUCUAAGUCACUUGACGGUACCAGAUGAAUAAGCACCGGCUAACUCCGUGCCAGCCGCCGCCGUAAGAC
rnacentral:rRNA from 1 species